rnacentral:rRNA from 1 species
UACGGAGGGUGCAAGCGUUAAUCGGAAUUACUGGGCGUAAAGCGUGCGCAGGCGGUUUGUUAAGUCUGCUGUGAAAUCCCCGAGCUCAACUUGGGGAUUGCAGUGGAUACUGGCAGGCUGGAGUAUGGUAGAGGAAGGUGGAAUUCCCGGUGUAGCAGUGAAAUGCGUAGAGAUCGGGAGGAACACCAGUGGCGAAGGCGGCCUUCUGGACCAAUACUGACGCUCAUGCACGAAAGCGUGGGGAGCAAACAGG